GACAGAGGGUGCAAACGUUGUUCGGAAUUACUGGGCGUAAAGCGCGUGUAGGCGGCCCUGCAAGUCGGAUGUGAAAUCCCACGGCUCAACCGUGGAAGUGCAUUCGAAACUGCAGGGCUAGAGUCCUGGAGAGGAAGGUGGAAUGCUUGGUGUAGAGGUGAAAUUCGUAGAUAUCAAGCGGAACACCGGUGGCGAAGGCGGCCUUCUGGACAGUGACUGACGCUGAGACGCGAAAGCGUGGGGAGCGAACGGG
rnacentral:rRNA from 1 species